GAAACCGCAACGUCUAUUUAAUGCAACCUUCGUAAUACACACUGCGUUCUAACUUAGACAAGUAUCGACGCCAGCAUCGUAACAUACCAUUGUACAUAUUUAUGCAAAAGAAAAUAAAUUCCAAUAGUGAACGAAAAAAAUUUUCUCUUUCCCUCCAUAGGCAAUUGUUAAGGGAUAGGUUUUUCCUGCAUAAGUACACCAAAAUUAGGGGCUAAAUGUCUUCCAUUCACGUUUAUCCGAAGAUGCGUAGCACUUUGCCAACAUUACCGAUGAAUUCUCAAUAUACAAACGCGUAUAAGUGUACAUUAUGUUCCUCAUGUAGACAUUCUGAAAAUUCACCGUUUCGGCUACUCGGGUAAUUUAAACUAUUUCUUCAUCUCUCUUUUCGAAAAGGGGAGGUCACAAGGCCGAAUACUUUUUCAUGAAAAAGGUGGGAUAGCCUCGAUUAAAUGAGCCCUAAGUAGGAAAAUCCUUUAAUUGGAGGAGGAAGAUGGACAUAAUGGAAAGAAGGUUAGAAGGUACCUUUUGAGUAUGGUUAAAGUCCACUUGGAUUGCAAACCUGACUUUGCAGUAAUAGUAGAAAAAAAUAGAAAGAAAGCGGGAUUAGCAAUUAUUAGGAAAGAAUCAUAGUAAUCCCAUGCACCUAAUCCAAGGUUUUGGAAAGGGGAUUUUAUUUUUAGACGCGAUAGUCAGGCAAAGCGUAUGGGCCAGCCAAAAUACUUGGCAAGGCUAAAGAAAGAAUCGAAGAGAUAGAAAGAUACGAAAAUUCGGAAUGCGCUGAUGAUCGCGUUUAGGGAUUUUCGUAUGUAAUCCUUCACUUUUCAACCAGUCAGUCAAUUGGAAACGCUGACCCUAUUACUGAUGCAGUGUACGAUACUCAAUUCAAAGGGGAAAGGGGGAGGAGGGCGUGAAGGAACAAUAUUACGAGUGUUGUCUCCGCUCCUUGACUAUACUUAGACACACAAGUCCGAAAAUAGACUCGCUCUGAUUUUGCUUUUCGUAACUUGCUCUAUUAAUAAAUGUAUCCGGUAAGAAUGGGGUACAAUACGAAUACAGUACAUUGGGAAAAAAUAACCAGAGAGGUAGCUUAUGAGUAAUUUGAUUUCGCAAUGAAUCGACCGUUACGACCUGCUUAUACUUUAGUAUAGCUAGACGAAGUAGUUUGGAUUAGACUUUAGGAGUAGUCCUAUCUGGCGACUGACAUACUUUCGUUGCGAUAUAGUUUACGUGCGCAACCAUUCGCGAGGAGGCUGAAUAUUGACUUGAGCCUCGUUAUUGCUUAUACCACUCAUUCAAAGUCGUCUACACUCGUGCUAACACUGCAUCCGCCUAUCAUUUUCAGCACUUGUUACGAAAAGGCAAACCAUUCGAUGUUUCUCAUCUACCUCUCUACAUGAUUGCUUAGGAGUACGGGAAGGAAUUGGGGGAAACUAGGGUUGAACGAUGAACUUGACAAAUUCUCAUCAUUUUUAAUCGGUCGUUAAGUGUUACGAUUGGGGCAACAUGUUUUAAACUGUUAGUCAGUGAGUAGAGAGGAGAGUCAACGAUGAUGUGAAUGCAUGCCAUGACUCAUGGAAACAGUGAGAAUUUUGGAAAUCAAAAAACAUCAUCGCCACAAUCCAUCUCUGUCCGCCGUCCCUUUACCUUUGUUUUAAUGGACAGCCUCAGUAGUGCUGACUCACGAAAUUGACGUGUGCAGCGACUGCUUACCUUGUCCUUCCUUCCUUUCUUCCUCCUUACCUGGGGUAUGCCGAAUUAGCUUAAUCAAGCUAGUGGGACAUAAAGGACUUUGAUUAUGGACUUUUGCCGUAUCGGUACUUGAAGCCCGUAAAAGGGCAUCUGUCUCGGAACUUUCCGUGGCUCCAUGUAUAAGAAAACACACAUUUGUUUAUUUUGUGCACUAUAUGAUGUUUGUCCAUAUAUACCCGUGUAAGCGACAAAUCGAAUUAUGCACAGCUUUGUCUUACAUCUAUUCGUACUACCCCGUAUUACAUACCCCGUCUUACAUGGUCUACCAAAAGUAUGGCUUUAUCUCUUAACAGAUUCUUUGUUUUCUGUCAGAAAACAUUUUUUUUGUUGAUAUCUGAAAACAGUUUUAACGGAAAACAUCAUUAUUUUUUCUUCGCAUUAUCGGCCCGUCUAAACAUCGGUAGAACCGAGCUUCAAACCAAAACCCCCCAUAUUAAAUGGAAUGUGCAGAAUACUCCCAGCUUCAAGACAAAAUGACUAACGAAAUUUUCGAAUGUUAAGUACGGAUUACUUUUUUUCGGCUAGCACGGGAUACAUGCAACUCUGGCUGACCUUAAAUUCAGUUCUGUACCGUAGCGAUAGCAUACUACCGAAUUAACUUCUUAAUCUACGCUUUAGCGAACCCUUCGACGAACUGACCUCGUUAACCCAUCCAAGACAGUCUAUCUAUUCCACCAUUUUUAGGAUUGCGCUUCUGUAAAGUGUUGAACUUAAUCCAAAUAAAUACCAUUUGUUUCAGCACGAUUUCAGGAUAAAUGUGGGCAAACAGCUUAAGGUUUUUAGAUUUAAGCUAAUUUUUCCUGUUAGCAAAAAAAGAGGCAGUGGUGCUAGAAUACCCGAAGGCCGUUUGUCUAAAUAUGCUAUAAUUAAAACCAAAAACCAUUUUCCUUAUGGCUUUUACCACUUCAUCUUAAUGACCCAAAUGCUUUAUCUCUUAUCUCGGAGAAAAAGUCUUGUAUUUUGAAUCAAUCAUGAAAAAGUCAAAUAUCGUGCUUUUAUUUCUGCCUAAAUUUCUCGAUUCUGACAAAAUUAAAAAAUAUUCCUGUUAGUCGGUCUCAUUCAAAAUGUUAAGAUAACAUAUCAUUUCCCGGUACCCUAUUUUAUUUUACCGAAAGUCAUUCCAUUUUAGUAAAGGAUUUACCGAAAAAAAUCAAUGCAACCUGUGGAAUACAUAUUUUGUUGUUUUGAUGGAAUAAGAUUGGGAAACGACUAGCAGCCCUACAUUUUUGUUUUAUGUCCUGUGAACGUCGGUUGUCCAGAACAUUCAACUAUCAAUUUCUCGCCGUAUACUAAAAUAGAAAACUUGCUGCAGCGCACCAGUUUAAACAGCUCGGUGGUAUAGCUUUCCCUUAGAUUAGUUGUUUUUUUUUUUUUAGCAACAAUACAGUCAAUGCAUGGCAAUUUUUAUUUGCUUUUCAAUUUGAGUUUAAUAGCAUUUAAUUAGCUAUUUUUCAUUCGAUGCUAUUCUUCUUUAUGCAAUUCUCGUUUCGAAUGCUAUAGGCAGUCAAAAAGCACAUGGCAUAUCAAUCCAAUAGUUAAUAAAUCGAUGCUUAAUUUGGUGGAGAAGAAUGGUUUAACACAAUUGUAUGAAAUUACUGUAAGAGACAUUAAACGGAAUCGUAAUUACUUUUAAACUAAAUAUGCCAUUCCUCGAU